rnacentral:tRNA from 1 species
AGACAUGGAGAACCCCCUCCUCCCAAGGACA